CAGUAGCCGCGGUAAUACGAAGGGCGCAAGCGUUAAUCGGAAUUACUGGGCGUAAAGCGUGCGUAGGCGGUGAGUUAAGUCUGCUGUGAAAUCCCCGGGCUCAACCUGGGAAUGGCAGUGGAUACUGGCUCGCUAGAGUGUGUCAGAGGAUGGUGGAAUUCCCGGUGUAGCGGUGAAAUGCGUAGAGAUCGGGAGGAACAUCAGUGGCGAAGGCGGCCAUCUGGGACAACACUGACGCUGAGGCACGAAAGCGUGGGGAGCAAACAGGAUUAGAUACCCCAGUAGUCCCUGUCUCUUAUAC
rnacentral:rRNA from 1 species